rnacentral:rRNA from 1 species
UUUUUAAAGCAACAAAGGGCACAUGGCGGAUGCCUUGGCUUUGAGAGGCGAUGAAGGACGUGGUAAGCUGCGAUAAGCUACGGGGAGCUGCACACAAGCGUUAUAUCCGUAGAUUUCCGAAUGGGACAACCCACUGUGCUGAAGGCACAGUACUCGAAAGAGAGCCAACCCUGGGAACUGAAACAUCUAAGUACCAGGAGGAAAAGAAAACAAUCGUGAUUCCCCAAGUAGUGGCGAGCGAAAAGGGAACAGCCUAAAUCGAAGCAGCGUGCUGUUUCGAGGUUGUAGGACUGCAUUUAGAAAGCAAUAUCAAGCUGAAUCUUCUGGAAAGUUGAACCAUAGCAGGUGAUAGUCCUGUAAGCACAAAUUAUUGCGGACGAGCAGUAUCCUGAGUAAGGCGGGACCGGAGAAAUCCUGCCUGAAUCUGCCGGCACCAUCCGGUAAGGCUAAAUACUCCUCAAAGACCGAUAGUGAACCAGUACCGUAAGGGAAAGGUGAAAAGCACCCCAAACAGGGGAGUGAAAUAGUACCUGAAACCGUGUGCCUACAAGCGGUCGGAGUCCCGAUUUAUCGGGAUGACGGCGUGCCUUUUGCAUAAUGAACCUACGAGUUACUCCUCACUGGCAAGGUUAAGUUUUAAAUAACGGAGCCGUAGCGAAAGCGAGUCCAAAUAGGGCGACUAGUCAGUGGGGGUAGACGCGAAACUUUGUGAUCUAUCCAUGGGCAGGUUGAAGUUCUGGUAACACAGAAUGAAGGACCGAACUCAUUAACGUUGAAAAGUUAUGGGAUGACCUGUGGAUAGGGGUGAAAGGCCAAUCAAACUGAGAGAUAGCUCGUUCUCCCCGAAAUGUUUUUAGGAACAGCCUCGGAUAUAGAAGUUUACUAGAGGUAGAGCUACUGAUUGGGCUAGGGGGCUUCACCGCCUACCAAACCCUGACAAACUCCGAAUGCUAGUAAAUAUCUCCGGGAGUGAGGCUGCGGGUGCUAAGAUCCGUGGCCGAGAGGGAAAUAACCCAGAAUAGCAACUAAGGUCCCUAAUACGUAGUUAAGUUGAUCAAACGAGGUGGGGCUUCUAUAACAGCCAGGAUGUUGGCUUGGAAGCAGCCAUUCAUUUAAAGAGUGCGUAACAGCUCACUGGUCGAGAGGCCCUGCACGGAAAAUGAUCGGGCAUCAAACUACGAACCGAAGUUCUAUGAUCUGCCUUUGGCAGAUCGGUAGGGGAGCAUUCUGAUCCGCUGUGAAGGUGUGUGGCGACGCAUGCUGGAGCGUUCAGAAAAGAAAAUGUAGGUAUAAGUAACGAUAAAUAAGGUGAAAAACCUUAUCGCCGAAAGUCUAAGGGUUCCUGAUCAACGUUAAUCGGAUCAGGGUUAGUCGGGUCCUUAGGUAAACCCGAAAGGGGUAACUGAUGGAAAGCUGGUUAAUAUUCCAGCACCCACUGUAGUUUCGAUGGGGUGACGCAUUAUUGAAAGUCUCACGGGGAUCACGGAAUAUCCCGUUUAAGCAUGUAGCUAUACGUUUUACAGGUAAAUCCGUAAGAUGUGGCAAAGUGCGAAAGUACACUGCGGCUUCGGCCAAUGGGAGAGACCUAAAAGAUGCCGAGAAAAACCUCUAAGGUUAGGCUACAGCGGCCCGUACCGCAAACCGACACAGGUAGACGAGAUGAAUAUUCUAAGGCGCUCGGGUGAGCCGUGGAGAAGGAACUAGGCAAAUUGACGCUGUAACUUCGGGAUAAAGCGUACCACCUUAUGGGUGGUCUCAGUAAAAUGGUCCAACCAACUGUUUAGCAAAAACACAGGGCCCUGCAAAAUCGAAAGAUGACGUAUAGAGCCUGAUACCUGCCCGGUGCUGGAAGGUUAAGGAAGGGUGUUCGACGCAAGUCAAAGCUCCUGACUGAAGCCCCAGUAAACGGCG